AAAGCCCGCUACUUGAAACGAACCGGAUUUCCUGUUUAUGCGCUGUGUUCGCUUCAGAAUUAUAAUUUACAGUAGGAUGUCGGCCAUUUCUACUUCGUAUACAGCGUGGUGUGGUCGUUAUUCUUACGCAGUCGAGUAAGGUAACGACUAUACAAAAUGGUUAACGGACGGAUACCCUCAGUUUUUUCAAAAACUUAUGUUACUCCAAGGAGACCUUAUGAGAAGGCUCGUUUAGAUCAAGAGUUGCGAAUUAUUGGUGAAUAUGGUCUUCGUAACAAGCGUGAAGUAUGGAGAGUUAAAUACACACUAGCAAAUAUUCGAAAAGCUGCUCGUGAGCUUCUUACUUUGGAAGAAAAGGAUCCUAAACGUUUGUUCGAAGGAAAUGCUCUUUUGCGUCGCUUGGUAAGAAUUGGAGUGUUAGAUGAAAGCCGUAUGAAACUUGAUUAUGUUCUUGGCUUGAAAAUUGAGGAUUUCUUAGAAAGACGACUUCAAACUCAAGUAUUCAAAUUGGGACUUGCUAAAUCUAUUCAUCAUGCCCGUGUGCUUAUUCGUCAACGUCAUAUUAGGUAUUCAAACAUUCCUGAUUGUCCAAUGAAAACAGUAGAAAAAAUGUGAUUUUAAAUAUUGGCUGGGUAGCUAUGAUACUCAAGAAUAUGCGGCACUGUGUAUUAAUAUUUUCUUUCAGGCAGGCCACUUGAGUGUUAGGAAACUAGCACUUAACGUCUGUCGCGUACUUACGGAUACGUAUUCGCGUUAAAAAUAUAUAAUUGAGUGCGCAAACAAGUGGUGAACAUUCCAUCUUUCAUUGUGAGAUUGGAUUCACAAAAGCACAUUGACUUCUCUCUAAAAUCUCCAUUUGGUGGUGGUAGACCUGGUCGUGUCAAGAGGAAGAACUUGCGUAAGGGAAGCGGAGGAGCUGCUCCAGAGGAAGAAGAAGAUUAAAUCAUUUGUUUUGUAAUACUUUAAAUAAAAGUAUACCUUAAAUGUUCAAUAA